CGGCCGGAGUCGCGAACGGGUGCGUAACACGUGGGAAAUGUACCGUGAAGACUGGAAUAACUCCGAGAAAUCGGAGCUAAUGCCGGAUGUGGUGGGGUGGGGCAUCCCGCUUCUACCAAAGCCGGGGACCGCAAGGCCUGGCGCUUCACGAUCAUCCCGCGGCCUAUCAGCUAGUUGGCGGGGUAAUGGCCCACCAAGGCGAAGACGGGUAGCUGGUCUGAGAGGACGACCAGCCACACUGGAACUGAGACACGGUCCAGACACCUACGGGUGGCAGCAGUCGAGAAUUUUUCACAAUGGGCGAAAGCCUGAUGGAGCGACGCCGCGUGGGGGAUGAAGGGCUUCGGCUCGUAAACCCCUGUCAUUCGCGAGCAAGGUCACCGGCUGAACAAGCCGGUGACUUGAUAGUAGCGAAAGAGGAAGGGACGGCUAACUCUGUGCCAGCAGCCGCGGUAAUACAGAGGUCCCGAGCGUUGUUCGGAUUCACUGGGCGUAAAGGGUGCGCAGGCGGCCGGGUAAGUCUGAUGUGAAAUCUCCGGGCUCAACCCGGAAAGGGCAUCGGAUACUAUCCGGCUAGAGGGUUGGAGGGGGGACUGGAAUUCUCGGUGUAGCAGUGGAAUGCGUAGAUAUCGAGAGGAACACCGGUGGCGAAGGCGAGUCCCUGGACAACUCCUGACGCUCAGGCACGAAAGCUAGGGGAGCAAACAGGAUUAGAUACCCUGGUAGUCCUAGCCCUAAACGGUGCACGCUUGCCGUGGGC
rnacentral:rRNA from 1 species